rnacentral:misc_RNA from 1 species
GAUGAAGAACGCAGCGAAAUGCGAUACUUGGUGUGAAUUGCAGAAUCCCGUGAACCAUCGAGUCUUUGAACGCAAGUUGCGCCCGAAGCCAUUAGGCCGAGGGCACGCCUGCCUGGGCGUCACACGUCGUUGCCCCCCCAUCUACUCCUUCGGGCUUGCGGGGGGCGGAUGAUGGCCUCCCGUGCGCCUCGCCGCGCGGUUGGCAUAAAUGCCAAGUCCUCGGCGACGCACGCCACGACAAUCGGUGGUUGCGAAACCUCGGUUGCCCGUCGUGUGCGGUCGUCGCGCAUCGAGGGCUCGAAAAAAUUGCCGGGUUCCGGCUCGGCUUUCAACGCGACCCCAGGUCAGGCGGGGUUACCCGCUGAAUUUAAGCAUAUCAAUAAGCGGAGGA